AUUGAACGCUGGCGGCAGGCCUAACACAUGCAAGUCGAGCGGAUGAGUGGAGCUUGCUCCCUGAUUCAGCGGCGGACGGGUGAGUAAUGCCUAGGAAUCUGCCUGGUAGUGGGGGACAACGUUUCGAAAGGAACGCUAAUACCGCAUACGUCCUACGGGAGAAAGUGGGGGAUCUUCGGACCUCACGCUAUCAGAUGAGCCUAGGUCGGAUUAGCUAGUUGGUGAGGUAAAGGCUCACCAAGGCGACGAUCCGUAACUGGUCUGAGAGGAUGAUCAGUCACACUGGAACUGAGACACGGUCCAGACUCCUACGGGAGGCAGCAGUGGGGAAUAUUUGACAAUGGGCGAAAGCCUGAUCCAGCCAUGCCGCGUGUGUGAAGAAGGUCUUCGGAUUGUAAAGCACUUUAAGUUGGGAGGAAGGGCAGUAAGUUAAUACCUUGCUGUUUUGACGUUACCAACAGAAUAAGCACCGGCUAACUUCGUG
rnacentral:rRNA from 1 species